rnacentral:lncRNA from 1 species
AAAAAAUGAAAUAUAAAAUGCAUAAUAAAAGGGAAAUAAAUCAAUUUGAAAUAUCUAAAAAGUAAGGAACAAUGAAUAAAUAGAUAAAUAAUAGGUAAAAUAAUAAAUGAAAAAAUAAAGAAAAUCCAUAAAUGGUUGAAAUUAAGUAAAUGAAGACCAAAUUGGAAUUAAAACGAACUUAAAGGCCAAAAUUAUAAUAAAAUAAACCUAAAGGAUCAAUAUGUAACUUAGAAGGAUUUCAGAGAUACAUUUUAAAAAUAAAA